GUGAGGAAUAUUGGGCAAUGGGCGCAAGCCUGACCCAGCCAUGCCGCGUGCAGGAUGAAGGCGCUAUGCGUUGUAAACUGCUUUUGUUCGGGAAGAAACCCAUCUACGUGUAGGUGGUUGACGGUACUGAAUGAAUAAGCAUCGGCUAACUCCGUGCCAGCAGCCGCGGUAAUACGGAGGAUGCAAGCGUUAUCCGGAUUCAUUGGGUUUAAAGGGUGCGUAGGCGGAAUAUUAAGUCAGCGAUGAAAUCCUGCAGCUUAACUGUAGAACUGUCAUUGAUACUGGUAUUCUUGAAUGCAGUUGAGGUAGGCGGAAUGUGUAAUGUAGCGGUGAAAUGCUUAGAUAUUACACAGAACACCGAUUGCGAAGGCAGCUUACUAAACUGUGAUUGACGCUGAGGCACGAAAGCGUGGGGAGCAAACAGGAUUAGAUACCCUAGUAGUCC
rnacentral:rRNA from 1 species